ACUGGAGUUCGACGUAGACGGUCUUUUCGGUAUCACCGGAAAGAAUGAUUUCUACAGUGUCUCGUAGAACUAUAUCUUAUCCGCGUCCGUAUCGUUCCCUGUUACCGACGGUUUCCCAGUCUUUGUGCAGUUAAAGCGGUACUUUGUUACAUGGAGAUCACGACAACACUUAGAAUGUCACAUUCAGGACAUCUGCUGGUCUUAUACCAACCGUACAAGCCAGUUACCAUGAACACUGUCUAGAUGGGUUCAUUGGUUGUUAUCGCUAGCGAGGGUGGAGACGUGUUUGGGUACUCAUUCGGUAAGAGGCGCGGCUGCUUCUCAGGCCUUCACGAGGGGGCCUCUAUAUUUUCAGCGACGAAUUGGACACGGAUAGACUACUUCCGUAUAUUUAUUUUCGUCAACCACACACGCAUCCUUC